rnacentral:rRNA from 1 species
CAGUCGCCACGGUAAUACGAAGGGGGCUAGCGUUGCUCGGAAUUAUUGGGCGUAAAGGGCUCGCAGGCGGUUUCUUAAGUCUGAUGUGAAAGCCCCCGGCUCAACCGGGGAGGGUCAUUGGAAACUGGGAAACUUGAGUGCAGAAGAGGAGAGUGGAAUUCCACGUGUAGCGGUGAAAUGCGUAGAGAUGUGGAGGAACACCAGUGGCGAAGGCGACUCUCUGGUCUGUAACUGACGCUGAGGAGCGAAAGCGUGGGGAGCGAACAGGAUUAGAUACCCCUGUAGUCCCUGUCUCUUAUAC